rnacentral:rRNA from 1 species
CCGGAUCCCAUCAGAACUCCGCAGCUAAGCGUGCUUGGGUGAGAGUAGUACUAGGAUGGGUGACCUCCUGGGAAGUCCUCGUGUUGCACCUC